CAGCGCGAACUUUACAUGCACGAAAGUGUGAUAAGGGAAUCCUAAGUGCUCACGCAUAGCGUGUGCUUUUGCCAAGGGCAAACACCUUGGCGAAUAAGUGGUGGGAAAGACUGGUGCCAGCCGCCGCGGUAACACCAGCGCCACAAGUGGGGAUCGCUUUUAUUGGGCCUAAAGCGUCCGUAGCCGGUCUAUCGAAUCUCUUGUGAAAUCGUUCGGCUCAACCGAACGGCGUGCAGGAGACACUCCUAGACUAGGGACCGGGAGGGGUCAGAGGUAUUCUGGGGGGAGCGGUAAAAUGCUAUAAUCCCCGGAGGACCACCGGUGGCGAAGGCGUCUGACCAGAACGGAUCCGACGGUGAGGGACGAAAGCCAGGGGAGCAAUCCGGAUUAGAUACCCGAGUAGUCCUAGCUGUAAACGAUGGGCACUUGGUGUUGCGGGUAUCGACCCCUGCAGUGCCGAAGCUAACGCAUUAAGUGCCCCGCCUGGGGAGUACGGUCGCAAGGCUGAAACUCAAAGGAAUUGGCGGGGGAGCAC
rnacentral:rRNA from 1 species